CUGGGUGAAGUCCAGCCUCUCGUCCACCAGCAGCCCAAAGGCCUUUUGGGAGGAUGCUCUUGAUCUGUUCUUUCCCCAGCCUGGAUUGAUAUGAGAGUUGCCAUGACACAGGUGCAGCACCUUGUACUUGAUCUUGUUAAACCUCAUGAGAUUUCCAUGGGCCAACAUCUCUGUCUUGUCCAGGUCCCUCUGGAUGGCAUCCCAUCCUUCAGGUUUGUCAACUCGAUCUGUUCUGUGUCAUCUGCAGUUUUGCAGAGGGUGCACUCAGUCCCUUCGUCCAUGUCAUUAAAGAAGAUAUUAAAUAACUCCCAGUAUGGACACCUCUACACUAGAAAGGUGUGAAGUUCUGGCUUGUGUUUGCAAGGUAGCCAGAGAAAUGGAACUUCUGGCUUUUAUUUCCACUAGAAAUGGACUUUCGGCUCCAGAAGUCUAGAAGAUGAAAAUUGUCAAAUUUUUGUGUAUCAAAUUUCAUUACCUUACUUUAUGGGCAAAAGUAAGUAUUUGGUACUUGUUUUAUACUAUUAAAACUGCUGCACCAACAAAGAGAGACAGGGAAAAGCCAGCAUAGGAUUGAACAGAGUUGGAAGUUGCAGUUAUAGGACUAAGUUUCAGCUUCCUCUCUGUGUGGACAGGAGUUACACAGAUGUAACAGAACAAGACAAAAUGUUCCAAAUCCAUUGUUCUUGCUCAGUAACUUGGAACAAUUUGGUGCCUCCUCAUCAUCUGCUUCUUCCAGAAGAGGCACUGGCCUCUGUGCCUGCCAGAGAUUAUUUAUUGAAACACACCAUAUGACAGCUCCAUCAACACAUCAGUCACUGUAGCUUUACAGUCAUCUCCAGUCCCUAAAAUUGGACUUGUUUCUUUCAAAGAGGAACUUGCUAAGUACCUGUCAGCUUCACUAGGUUCAUCUUGAACAGCACUGACCUUAAAAGUUAGGAAAUAUUUAGCCAAAUACAUGGUCAGAUUUCAAAUACAAAAUUAGAAUCCAAGCUAUAAAAAGGUAGAUAAACUAGACUGUACUUAACUAAAAGAUUAUUUCUUAGCUGCUGUGGUAUUUUGCAGCCAGAACCCCAUACAGCCUAUGCACAUGUAUUCCAUGCUACUUCAGGGUGAAACUCAACACUAACCAGAGGGCCUAAGCCCUUGAGGGCUGUUCUCUAGUGGUAACCCACUCCAAACUCUCUUCUUUUUGUUAAAGAUGCUUCUCUCUUGUUUUUAUUUCAUAGUGCUGAUUUAAAUCCAAGAUAAUGCUGUUGCGUUAUCCGAGAGGAGAGAGAAUGUGUAUUCAUUCAAUUAUUUAAAGCAUCCUCAAUACUGUUACAAUAUCCAGCAAGAGCAGUACUGCCUGGAUAAGCUGGAAGGAAUUGAAAUGGUGCCAGUUACACAUCAUUAUGUGUUCUAACACAGUGAAUGUAAGGGAGAGCAAGUCUAAGGUGUUACUCUCUACCUCCUACAAGGGGAAAAACUCUCCUGGUUCCAAGGGACUGGGCAUGCUUUCAUGCACAUUGGAAGUGUACAGUGUUAUAUAACUAUUACUUAAAGACAAAAAGUUUUGGGUUUUACCAUAAUACCUUCUGGAAAAUUGUCCUCUUUAAAAAUAAAGUAUUUUUGUAUCUUAAAAUUGGUACCUGGUAGUUUUUUGUAAGAACAUGUGUAUCUAAAUGGCAGCAUAAACUUCUGUUAGUCUUCUUUGCAGGGAGAUUCUGAGCCCUUGAUAGAUGUUAAUGAUUGACCUUAUGGCUAAGAUGUUCAAAUCUGCCAUUUGGAUGUCAUGUUCAAUCCUUUAAGGAGGAUAAAGCAAAAACAUUGGAUUAAAAUACAGAUAUGACAAUAUAAACUUAUGGGCAUCUUCUCUCAUCUCCUAGUUGGUACUCAAUUACAGUAUGAGGACCCUGGCAGAUUAAGCAAUACUUAAUAGCAAUCUUUUAGAAAAACUCAUGUAGCACAUGUUCAGAUGAAUGUACUUUAGCAUCAAUCACAUCCGUUUUAAUCAGUAUAAGCUACUCAGAAUGCAAGAAUUGCAAUAAAAAGUUAUGAAAUUAGUUACAAAAAAAGGUGUUAAAAGGUGAUGUACUGGGGACCUAGUACAAAUACAACACCUACUUGUAAGAGCAGAAAUAGGAACAGAAAGUCCUGAAUUAAUUAUGUGUAGAGGGUAUUUAUGUGUUGCUACUGACUGUAAAAGAUGAUCCUUAGUGUAAACAACUUGCCUUCAGAAUCUCCAAGACAGCAAAUAAAGAGCUAAAAAACUCAA